rnacentral:tRNA from 1 species
UCCCUCGUGGUCCAGUGGUUAGGACUCUGCACUUCCACUGCAGGGGGCAUGGAUUCGAUCCCUGGUUGGAG